UCCGUGCACGAUCCCGCGCAUUUUCAGGUAUUAUUUCCAUUGCACGUGCCCGCAUGGUCACUCGCUGUACAGCAAUUCUCCCAUGCGCUGAGAGAUGGAGCUGCGCGCCAAGGAGGCGCUGACUGCUGCUGAGGCUGUUUCGUCGUCAAAGCAGAAGCACGCUGAUGCUUGUAAGGAAGAGACUUUUAAGUGAGGAAGCUAGUCGGUGAUUCUUUCCCCAGGGUUGCAGUCCGUUGCUAUUCACUGAGACCGCGCGGUACCAUCAUCUCAGCUGUUCUUGUUUUGGACUUUGUUUCCUCUUAAGUAAAUCCAUAAAAAUGUUAAUUGCGGUCACCUCUUUGUAACUAGAACUGAGGUGGACACGCCAGAACAAACCACCCCCAGUACAACCGUUACCCUGACAGCAAAGAGGAGGAUUCAACAAGAGGAGGUUGGGGCCGCUGAUGGAUACAUCAAUUAUAUAACUCAGGGUGAAAACAGGAAAAUACACCUCAUUUCUAUGCCUAAGAAAGAGGAGGAGGAUCACACAUUCUGCCUAGUCAUUUAUCUUGUACACUAUCACAAAAAGGCAAGGAUCACAACCACAGUUUAACACUGGAAUGCUGUUUGAACCAUAUUGUGAAAUUCAGCACUUCACUUCAGCCUGAGGAAAAAACUUCAGGUUUUUCAGCACAGCUCAAGGUCUUUUGUGUCAGCUAACAAACACACAGAGCUCAAGAGAUUCACAGAAAGCCAGAGCAAUA